rnacentral:lncRNA from 1 species
GAAUAUGAGCUCACUGGUGGACACUGGGUGGAACGGAGGACACCAGGAGCAAGUUAAUUCAUAGAAGAUUGGAAAGGCAGAGUGCCCCGAAGGAGUGUGCGUUUUUCCAUCCUUAGACAAGGUUACUUACUUGGGAGCACCCCUGGGAACAAGACCUAUAAAGGAACGAGGGAGCAAGACUGGCAGUGGGAGAAGCUGGACAGCAAAGCAGUUGCAGCACAGGCUGCAGUUAAUCCCACAGGGAGUUUCUGGAGCUGAGAUGGCUUUUCAGAGAGAUUCUGCACUGAGUGAAGGAGAAACAGACUUUCUCAGACAAACAAAAAUUGAGGGAAUUUGUUGCCAAUAGACCUGCCUUGCAAGAAAUGUUACAAGAAGUUCUUCAGAGAGAAGGAAAAUUAUACACCGGUCAGCAAUUCAAAUCUAUAUAAAGGAAGAAAGAGCAUUAGAAGAGGAAUAUGGAAAGACUUCUCUUUUCGCUUUUCUGCUAUCACUGCGACAGUACCUCCAUUCAGGGGAGGCUGAGGCCAGCUCCUUGGAGCUGUGUGGGACUUUCAUUCACACACCAUGAUGCGUUCCAGGAGUGAAAUCAUGUCGAGUGACU